rnacentral:tRNA from 1 species
GGCGCUGUGGCCUUCGGGUUAAAGCGCCUGUCUAGUAAACAGGAGAUCCCCGGUUCAAAUCCGGGCAGUGCUC